rnacentral:rRNA from 1 species
AACGAACGCUGGCGGCAUGCCUAACACAUGCCAGUCGAACGAGACCUUCGGGUCUAGUGGCGCACGGGUGCGUAACGCGUGGGAACCUGCCCUUAGGUUCGGAAUAACUCCCCGAAAGGGGUGCUAAUACCGGAUAAUGUCUUCGGACCAAAGAUUUAUCGCCUUUGGAUGGGCCCGCGUUGGAUUAGCUAGUUGGUAGGGUAAAAGCAUACCACGGCGACGAUCCAUAGCUGGUCUGAGAGGAUGAUCAGCCACACUGGGACUGAGACACGGCCCAGACUCCUACGGGAGGCGGCAGUGGGGAAUAUUGGACAAUGGGCGGAGGCCUGAUCCAGCAAUGCCGGGUGAGUGAUGAAGGCCUUAGGGUUGUAAAGCUCUUUUACCCGGGAUGAUAAUGACAGUACCGGGAGAAUAAGCUCCGGCUAACUCCGUG